rnacentral:pre_miRNA from 14 species
GGUACUUGGAGAGAGGUGGUCCGUGGCGCGUUCGCUUUAUUUAUGGCGCACAUUACACGGUCGACCUCUUUGCGGUAUC